GGUGGCGAACGGGUGAGUAACACGUGAGUAACCUGCCCCUGACUCUGGGAUAAGCGUUGGAAACGACGUCUAAUACUGGAUAUGAUCGCCGGCCGCAUGGUCUGGUGGUGGAAAGAUUUUUUGGUUGGGGAUGGACUCGCGGCCUAUCAGCUUGUUGGUGAGGUAAUGGCUCACCAAGGCGACGACGGGUAGCCGGCCUGAGAGGGUGACCGGCCACACUGGGACUGAGACACGGCCCAGACUC
rnacentral:rRNA from 1 species